GGUUUUGCUUGACAAUGGCAAGAUUUCUGGUGUUUGCGCUGCUGACUCUGUUGUCCUUCUCUUCUCACACGCGAGCCGAAAUCUUCACAUCAAUUGGCCAAAUGACAGACCUGAUAUUUACAGAGAGGAAGCUUGUCAAGUCCCUGAAAGAAUACAUUGAAGCAGAAGAGAUGAAACUUGAAGCUGUGAAGAGCUGGGCUAAUAAACUGGAUAUGUUG